UGGGGAAUCUUCCACAAUGGACGAAAGUCUGAUGGAGCAACGCCGCGUGAGUGAAGAAGGGUUUCGGCUCGUAAAACUCUGUUGUUAAAGAAGAACAUAUCUGAGAGUAACUGUUCAGGUAUUGACGGUAUUUAACCAGAAAGCCACGGCUAACUACGUGCCAG
rnacentral:rRNA from 1 species